ensembl:lncRNA
AUCAAAACCCACAAGAAACAUUAACAUAACUAUAAAAUAUUCUUUACAGAAACAGUGAUUCUAUUAUUUACCUGGAGAAAUAUUAAUUGCUCAGUUCUAGUCCAUACUUACAUAAUAAAAAUAGUAUAUUAAUUUACUUAUUGAUUAUGAUACUAUUUAACCAUUAAGAAUUAAUUUGCACACCUAAAAAAGAAAAAAAUUCUAAUAUCUUAUACCAGGAUGGUUCGAAAUGGGAUUUAGGCAUACAAAGUGAUAUAAAAAAAUAAGAACAAGGGAUAGUCUACCUUUCAGAUCUGUGGAGAAGAGAAGAAUUUAUGACCAAAGAAGAAUUAGAGAACAUUAUGAAAUACAAAAUGGAUACUUUUAAUUACAUUAAAAUGUUUUUUCUGCAAACAAGACCAAUGUAGGCAAGAUUAGAAGGGAAGCAGAUAGCUGGGUAAAUUUUUUUUUUACACCCACUGUUUCUGAUAAAGACCUCAUUUCCAAAGUAUAUAUAGAAUUGACUCAAAUUUAUAAGAAUAUAAGCCAUUCUCCAAAUGAGAAGUCAAAGGAUAUGAAGACAAUUUUCAGAUGAAGAAAUUAAAGCCAUUUCUAGUCGUGUGAAAAAAUGCUCUAAAUCACUAUUGAUUAGAGAAAUCCAAAUUAAAACACAGGGGUACCACUUUAUAUCUCUCAAAUUGGCUAAGAUGACAGGAAAAGAUAAUGAUAAAUGUUGGAAGGGAUGUGGGAAAACUGGGACACUAAUGCAUUUUUGGUGGAUUUGUGAACUGAUCCAAUUAUUCUAGAGAACAAUUUGGAAUUAUGUCCAAAGGGCUAUUAAACUAUGCAUACCUUUUGAUCCAGCAAUGUCUCUAUAAGGGCCUAUAUCCCAAAGAUAUAAAAGAGGAAAAAGGACCCACAUGAGCAAAAAUAUUUGUAGCAGUUCAUUUUGUAGUACAAGGAACUGGAAAUUGAGUGGAUACCCAUGAGUUGAGGAAUGCCUGAAUAAGUUAUGCUACAUGAAUGUAAUGGAACAUUACUGUUCUAUUAAAAAAAAGUGAUGAGCAGACUGAUUUGAGAAGAUCUUACAUAAGCUGAUGCUAACUGAAGUGAAUAGAAUCAAGAGAAAGAAUAUACACAGCAACAAGUUUAUGUGAUAAUCAACUAUGAUGGACAUGGUUUUUUUCAACAAUGAGGUGAUUCAAGGCAAUUCCAAUAGACUUGUGAUGCAAUCUAUAUCCAGAAAGAGAACUGGAGAUUGAAUAUGGAACUGGAGAUUGAAUGUGGAUCAAAGCAUAAUAUUUUUACUUUUUUUCUUUUUAUUGUUUGCUUGCUUGCUUUUUUCCCUUUCUUAUGUUUUUGUUUGUCUGUUUGAUUUUUCUUGUGCAAGCAUGACAAAUACGGAAAUGUAUUUUGAAGAAUUGCACAUGUUUAACAUAUUGGAUUGCUUGCUAUCUAAGAGAGAGGUAGGAGGGAAGGAAGAAGGGAGAAAAAUUUGGAACACAAGGUUUCACAAAAGUGAAUGUUGAAAACUAUCUUUGCAUAUGUUUGGAAAAAUAAAAAAGCUAUAUCAAUUUAUUUUUAAAAAAGAAAAAUGCAGAUAGAUGUCAGGGAGUCUGGUCUGUUAUCUCCACAACUGCUGUCCUUCAAGAAAGUCCGAUUUGUUAUCACUGUGACACUAACUAAGCAUGCAAGUGGCUACUACCCAAUAAACAUAUAGUGGCAAUAUGAAAUGAGGGGUUGUUGCUAGCCCUACAUUCAAAAUUUCCAACCAAUUAUAUUGUCCUCUAUAUUUAUGAUACUAUAUGGUUUUGUAACCAAUUAUAUUGUUUACCCUCUCUAAUGCUGCCUUCUAGUUUUUGAGUGCUUCUCCUUUUGUCCAUAAAAAUUAUGUCAGUCCUCAUUGAGAGUCUUAGCCAGCUGAGGAGGCUGAUACUGUAUUUACUAGCAAAUUGGCCCUUUGUUAAUAAAUUGAUCAUGCUUAGAACUUUGUGCCUCAGUUUAUUUUAACUUCAAUCAUAACAAAGGGAAACACUGGGAAAAAAAGAGUAAGGUAACCUAAACAUACUAAAUAAAACUUUAGUACAAAGCACUAAUCAUCAAAAUUAUUUCCUACUUGUUAAAAAAAAAAAAAAAAGUCAAUUGAAAAUAUUGGGUAGAAGCAAGUAAGUAAAAUACAGUGUUUGGAUAAACCCAAAGAUCUGAAGUUUUGGUAAGGAGUCACUAUUAAACAAAAAUGAAACUCCAGAAAAGCAGUCUGGCAGAGGUUGGAUAUAGAUGACCAUGUUACAACACAUACCAAGAUAAGCUUAGAAUAGGUCACAACCUAAACAAAUUAGGAAAGCAAGGAAAGUCCCACCUAUGACAAGUAUAGACAAGAAGACUUAAUUCAUGACUUAACAAGUGACAAUAGAAAAGAUCAUAAAACUUAAAAUAAAGUUUUGAUUUUAAAAUUGUUUUUUGCCCAUACAACACCUAUGAGAUAAUAAUAGAAACAUAUCAUUGGGG